rnacentral:rRNA from 1 species
GCCGAAAGGCAGGAGUGCCCGCAAGGGAGCGCGGAGACAGGUGGUGCAUGGCUGUCGUCAGCUCGUGUCGUGAGAUGUUGGGUUAAGUCCCGCAACGAGCGCAACCCUCACCCCUUGUUGCUACCAGGUAAAGCUGGGCACUCUAGGGGAACUGCCCCGGUCAACGGGGAGGAAGGCGGGGAUGACGUCAAGUCAUCAUGCCCCUUACGUCCUGGGCUACACACGUGCUACAAUGGCCGGUACAAAGGGAUGCCACACCGUGAGGUAGAGCUAAACCCAAAAAGCCGGUCUAAGUUCAGAUUGGAGUCUGCAACUCGACUCCAUGAAGGAGGAAUCGCUAGUAAUCGCGUAUCAGCACGACGCGGUGAAUACGUUCCCGGGCCUUGUACACACCGCCCGUCACACCACGAAGGCCAG